AUUGAACGCUGGCGGCAUGCUUUACACAUGCAAGUCGAACGGCAGCGCGGGCUUCGGCCUGGCGGCGAGUGGCGAACGGGUGAGUAAUGCAUCGGAACGUGCCCAGUAGUGGGGGAUAGCCCGGCGAAAGCCGGAUUAAUACCGCAUACGACCCGAGGGUGAAAGCGGGGGGCCGAAAGGCCUCGCGCUAUUGGAGCGGCCGAUGUCGGAUUAGCUAGUUGGUGGGGUAAAGGCUUACCAAGGCGACGAUCCGUAGCUGGUCUGAGAGGACGACCAGCCACACUGGGACUGAGACACGGCCCAGACUCCUACGGGAGGCAGCAGUGGGGAAUUUUGGACAAUGGGGGCAACCCUGAUCCAGCCAUGCCGCGUGCGGGAAGAAGGCCUUCGGGUUGUAAACCGCUUUUGUUCGGGAAGAAAUCCUCUGGGCUAAUACCCCGGGGGGAUGACGGUACCGGAAGAAUAAGCACCGGCUAACUACGUG
rnacentral:rRNA from 1 species